ACCUUUCUCAGUCCAGCCAUAUCUAUCUGUAGUACUUAUUUUAAGGAACAAUUUCCUCAUCUUACAUUGUUCUUUUGGUUUCCAGCUUUGCUCUAGCAUCUUACUGCUCUUCCUCUCUUUUUCCGUGUCUCAGUCCGGAUUUCUUAUUCUCGUCUCAGAUCAUUAGGAUACGGUCAUAUAAUUAUAUUUCUGAUUCUUUUUAUCUUUCUUACUGAAAAUAACCUGGGAGCUCGUGCAGGGUAUUUAAAAGGUGGAUAGCUAGCUAGCUUUGCUAUUCUAUAGACCUCAAUCACAAAUGAUGUUGCAGGCAACAUUUUGGUCAAUCUGGCAGGUUAUGAAGAUAUUUCAUUCUUAUGGUGUUCUUAUUCAGAUUCAUUAGUCUGAGCUGCUGCUAUUGCAGUCUCCUAUCCUUCAACCUUUGAGCCUGAAGAGCUCAUAGGAAAUGGAUUCUGCUAUCUUUGCAGAAUUGAUGACCUUGCACUGUGAAAAUCACCUAUACAAUUAAAUUGCUUCUCUGAAGGUUGAAAACCUGAAGUUCGUUUACUGGCUGCUGCUAACUGUGGGUGAGAAGUUGUUGAAAAACUGAAGGUCAUUUACAGGCUGCCACUAUCUGUGAGUGAUCAUUUGUUGAAAGACUGAAAUUCAUUCUACAACUGCCACUAACUUUCGGAUUAGUUGUGGGACUCCUUUGCUUUAUGACAACUGCUGGUUGUAUGGGGCCACUUUCACUUGGAAAGAGUGUCUUGGUUAUGCCCCUUUUUGAUUGAUGAUAGGGGAUGAGGUUCUUGCUGAUCGUGCUGCUUUCAAAGCACAUUUUGACUGGGAUUUGUGUCAUGUUCCUGCGGAUUGGGUCUGUUGGUAGUGACAUGGGGGCAGAGGUGGUGCCAUCUAGAUCUGCUGCUUGUCCGUGCACACUUGGAUUGUUUGCAGGCGAAUAACACUAAAUGGGGCACAAUAGAAUGUGUGCUAAUUGGACGGUUUGCAACUUUAUUACUACAUUCCUCUUAAGGCUCAGGAGUAGAGGCACUGAGCAGAUACUUAGUGCUCGCUAGACGCAAUGUUCUCUCUCUUUUCUCACUGACAGCUGAUCACCUUAUCCUGAUUCAUUUGUAUGCUGGUAAUUCAUUUAGUUGAGCCUGUUGACCUAAUGAACCUGUGCUCCUUUGAAGUCUUAGGUUGUAAUCUUACUCUAUUUGUGGCUUAGAACGAAAUAAAGUGAGAGCAAUCCUGAUUAACAGAUUCUCUGAGUGGCAUCACAAUACACAACUGGGGUUGCAAUGGAUGGUACAUUUUCUUAGUGGCCCACUAAGAUGUAGCCAUUGAUGCUAGUAUAUUGCUAAGUGUGCUGCAAUUAUUUAGAGCACUUAAUCGUAAUGUUGCUUGGUCUACCCAAUAUUGGAGGACAGCUACCAUAGUUGGUUGAGAUGAAUCAGAAAACACAUGUAGUACCAGUUAGCUCUGUCUUAUGGUUGAACUCCCAUUGAUGUAAAAAAAUCUCCAACUGCUGUUGCUUCUGUAGCUACAAGGAUUUCUCCUAUUGUUCUUUGGGGCUUGUUGAUGCCCUGCAAUAUUCAUCUUUUUGUACUACCCACAAUCUUCUGAGGUGGUGUCUCUUUUAUUUUACAUUGCAAGUAGAUGCAAUCAUGGAAGGCUUUUUACAGCCAUUUCACAGUUUUUGCUUCUACUCACCAUUUUGACUAGGCAAUACUUCGUUUUAAACUCAUUCAAGCACGAAGUACCUCCGGUACUGUUAACAAAAUUUUUUCCUUUCUCUCUCUGACAAGAUUAUUCCUUUGCUUGUCUUGUACACUCAUUGUCCAUUAAGUUUCUGUCUUUCUGAGUAGUCAAUCUUUUGCUUCUUCUCAUACAAACAUUAACAAUUGCGUCUUUGUAAAUACUCUCUUAUGUUCUUUACCACUGGUGUAUCUCAUACAAACAUUAAUAAGUGCUUCCAUAGAAACUCUCAGGCUCCUCCCCCCACCCGUUGCUCUUGGUCCUGCAUUUGUUUGAGUUCUGCACCUUGAAGCAGUCAUUAACAGAAAAAUUGAUGGAUUCAUAAAAUUGUAGUGGCUUCUUCUUAAUGGAACAUAUUUCAGUGAGACUGCCAUGGGAUAACAACAACAACAACAACAACAACAACAUACCCAGUAUUAUCCCACACCGUGGGGUCUGGGGAGGGUAGUGUGUACGCAGACCUUACCCCUACCUUAUGAGGAUAGAGACUGCCAUGGGAUGAGGGGAACCAAAUUGGCCUUGUCUAUUUGGUGGCAUGGCUCGUCAAAGGUACUUGUGGUGAUAUGUUUCUCCUUUUAGCUUUAUAAAUUAGCUGCCUUUAGUCACUUCAUAAACAAUGAGCUGUCUUUAGUAUUUUCUAUCUUCUAGUUGAAACAGGAGUAAUCAAGUGGUUUAGCUUGUGUGCUUGUUUCAUAUUCAAUUUUGAGUAGUUCAAUAGGAAUGGAUCAUAGAUAUCCAUCCUCAGGACAGAUCUUACUCUUUCCCUUUUCUCAUCCUUACUGAGUUAACUUUGCGAUGGAAAUUAUCAUAACUGCAUCAAAUUUGGGUAAUAUGAUUAUGUGCAUAGGAGUAUCAUUACUACCAUUAGCUUGCUUAUUGUUCUCUAGUCUCAUAUAUUCAGACAACUUAUUUACUGUCCAUGAACGAUAGUAGCAUAAAGUUUUACUGAGCUUAGAAGUGAUUCGCAUCAUGGAUAAUCCUAUAGAAUUCAAUGGUGGUGUUGUUGCCUUUAUAACAAUACAUUUUCUCCAUUGCAAGUAAUUAAAAAUAAAUUAGUUCUAUUUAUCAAAAACAAAAAUCAAUUUCUCCUAAGACUUAAUUGGAGGAGUUAUGUUAGUCAGGUAAAAGGAUAUUCUUCAGCUACCCGAGCGAUUCUAGGGCAUAUAUUUCUACGUAUAAAGAAAACUAGCUGUAAUUGUCCACAUAUAAUGGUCUUAACUCCCUAAAAGAAACAAAGGAGAUAAACAUAUCAGUCCCGUCUCUCCUGUCUUUAGAGGAAAAUUGAGGAUGAAGUUAGAUAUAUUAUGACAAACUUUUAUCUCUUAUGAGCUUCUGUUGGGUUCUAGGAAGUUACUGUCAUUAGAGUUUUAUUCCUUUUUAUAGGUCAAAUAAAUUUCUACUCUUCCAAUAUCCAUAUUGACGUCCAAAUGGUCUUUGCAUCACCACCCCUCAAACAGGAGGUUAUGGUAAGACUUCUUGGAGAAUCAUUUGAAAAGGUCAUCUUCCAUUCCUUCUUAUCGCCGUAACUCUGUAAAGCUUAUAUACCUGUGAGGAAAUCUUUCCACAUUGUCAAUUUUCAGUGUUAUAUACUUGUCUAAUUCUUUUUUGGUUGACAGUCUCAUUCCUUAUUAUGAAUCUCCAACUACGGCUUCCUUUGCAGUUGUGAUUCCAAAGAGACGAGAAAAUUCAGCUGUUAGAACGGUAUGACCAAGCCAACAUUGAAUACAGUUUUCAUUCCUAAAAGAGAUUCCUAUGAACCUCAUGAAAUCCUUUCUCUUCAUAAUCUUUUCCAUUAAGCUUGUUUUAUAAGAGAGAGUUGCCACUUUCCAUAACCAUCCAAAAAUAUGUGGUUAUACUUUUUUUCUUGAGAAAGGUAACGAUGUUAUAUAUCAUUAGCACAAAGACAGUGCUAAACCCCAUUUUUACAAAAAGAGCAAAAGUGUUCCCUUAGUUCUUACAAGUUACA
rnacentral:lncRNA from 1 species